rnacentral:rRNA from 1 species
UGAGCCUUGAUGUGUAGGAUAGGUGGGAGGCUUUGAAGCGUGGACGCCAGUCUGCGUGGAGCCGACCUUGAAAUACCACCCUUUAAUGUUUGAUGUUCUAACGUGGACCCGUGAUCCGGGUUGCGGACAGUGUCUGGUGGGUAGUUUGACUGGGGCGGUCUCCUCCUAAAGAGUAACGGAGGAGCACGAAGGUUGGCUAAUCCUGGUCGGACAUCAGGAGGUUAGUGCAAUGGCAUAAGCCAGCUUGACUGCGAGCGUGACGGCGCGAGCAGGUGCGAAAGCAGGUCAUAGUGAUCCGGUGGUUCUGAAUGGAAGGGCCAUCGCUCAACGGAUAAAAGGUACUCCGGGGAUAACAGGCUGAUACCGCCCAAGAGUUCAUAUCGACGGCGGUGUUUGGCACCUCGAUGUCGGCUCAUCACAUCCUGGGGCUGAAGUAGGUCCCAAGGGUAUGGCUGUUCGCCAUUUAAAGUGGUACGCGAGCUGGGUUUAGAACGUCGUGAGACAGUUCGGUCCCUAUCUGCCGUGGGCGCUGGAGAACUGAGGGGGGCUGCUCCUAGUACGAGAGGACCGGAGUGGACGCAUCACUGGUGUUCGGGUUGUCAUGCCAAUGGCACUGCCCGGUAGCUAAAUGCGGAAGAGAUAAGUGCUGAAAGCAUCUAAGCACGAAACUUGCCCCGAG